GGGUGGUAAACUCCAUCUAAGGCUAAAUAUGACCACGAGACCGAUAGCGAACAAGUACCGUGAGGGAAAGUUGAAAAGCACUUUGAAGAGAGAGUUCAAGAGUACGUGAAACCGUUCAGGGGUAAACCUGAGAAGCCCGAAAGGUCGAAAGGGGAAAUUCAUUCGCGUUUCGGCCGUCGGCGUGGGACGGUCGAGUGACGGACGUCGCACGCGGCGUCCGCGCCUUUCGUCUUUCGAACCGGCGUCGAACGCGUGCACUUUUCCCCUAGUAGGACGUCGCGAUCCGUUGGGUGUCGGUCUACGACCCGCGGUGGAGCCCGUGCGGACGCCUCCCGGCGUAUCGCUCGGACCCGCGGUGUUCCGGCCGACCCGCUCGACGGUAUACAGAUGGCGCGGGGCCGCUACACAAACAGUUAGCGUUCGGCCCGCGGCAAGCGCGUUCGGCGUUUGACGGCGAUCGGACCCGGUGCCGGUCCUGUCCCCGAACGACUGUUGGCCGCGGUGCUCUCGAACAGACCUCGUCUCGAAACGCCGAUCUGCGACGCUAUAGCUU
rnacentral:rRNA from 1 species